GCAUUAUAUGAUGCUGGGACAGAGGGAGACCUGGAGGGGAGCCAGAGAGGACAUUUUUUGUUUAUAGAACAAGUGGACUACUGCAGAGCACAACCUGGCCCCAUAAACUCACAUCCUUGUGCGUUCUGUUGGGGUGCAGCUGUGCUAUGUUCUACAACAUGCACAAAGUUCACAUAGAAUCAAGAAGAAAGAUCCGAGACCGGGUUUAAACUCCUCAACAGCACGGUGCCUGCCUGUCUACAAAGUAUCCUUGGAAAUUCCAGUAGACAGCUAGUCCUUAAGGUGGUGAUGGAGGAACACUUGAAAGAAGAUGAACACAUGGACACGCCUACACUGAAACAUGGCCUCAAAGUCCCUUCAAAAAUUGCAUCAGGACUCCUUGAAGAGAAACUGCAAAGAACUUCAAAAUUAGGAAAGCAUCAGAAUCAGGAGGAAAGGAAAAAGGAUAUCAGACAGAAGGAAUCCAGUAUUUGAUCAAAUAUUGGAUGUGCACUUAUUCCUCUGACUUGUAUGAGUUGCUUCAGACUUCAGCUCAGUUCUCUCUGUACAACAACAACAACAAUAAUAGUAACAAUGUCCAUCAAAGAGUUUUCUGUGAGGAUUGAGCGAAUAAAUAAAGUACAUUCCAGAGUGUCUGGUACUUUUAUAUAAAUUGUAAAUCAUGGCUUAAAAAACAGAAAUAAAU
rnacentral:lncRNA from 1 species